AGUGUGGCGUUCACCUUGAUACCGUUUGGUUCCUAUCUCGUUAGAUAGUGGGUCAUGGUCCUUUUUCAUUAAACCACAUUUCACCUUAAAACGUAUAAGAAUCGAGUCCCUAAUAGAUAUUACGCGUUCAUUCUUGUUUUAAGUUCGUUUUAACCAUCCUUCCAUCAAUAUAUCUUUACUUUUAUCCAAUUUUUUAAACUAUCUUCUUUAAAAUAUAACCUUUUGUUAAACCGAAACGAGAACUACUUAAUUUACGAUCGGGCAAACAAACGACUCAAUUACAUCCCCUAAGUGAGUUCGUAUCAUUUGGUAUCAGAGAUGGUUAAAUUAAGUAAGUUUUUAUCGUUUACAUACUUCUGGGUUUGAAGAAAAGCAUAAAAAAAGAAUCGAUAUCAAAAAAUUUUUGUGUAAAAAAAUGUUUUGUUCAUACAAGUUGAAAAUACAAAAAAGGGGAGUUCAAUUUUGUGUAUUUCAAACCAAAGAAAAACUAUUCUAAAAAUUUUAUUUCCCAAUCUUUUUUAUUUGCUUUUUAAAACUAUUUUCGGUCACACUCUUCGAAAUUGAUUUUCUUUCAAGCCUACCUACACCUUACAUCAAUCCUUUUUGUUUUUAGCCUUUUGAAGCCGACCCACAAGUUUGCUAAUAAGUCUAACGAAAUCUCCAAGAACUUCGAGAGGUGAACUUGAGAGGUAAAAGGCAUUGAGUGGAGCUUCAGUCAUUAAGAGGUAAAAGCCAAAAUUCGAGUGCAAACACGAGUAGAGAGCACAUCUUAAUUUUCUUUGCAAGAGAUUGGUAAGGAUUUUGAAUUGGUGAGGUUCAUAUACUAAUUAAUUUUUUUUCUUUUUUUUAAUCCUUUAUUGAAUCCAUGUCCCAAGAACUUUCUAAGUUGGAAUUACAAAUGUCGGAGAAAGAAAUGAGAAGGAUUAUUUGAUCUAAAUUCCAACAAAUACAAAAAGAGUUAGAUCGUAAAGAAGUAAGAUUGUCAAGGAGUUUAAACCUUCAAAGUGAGGAGAAUGAGCAGCAACGGGAAAAUCUCUUCCAUACCCGCUACUGAGUACAAGGUAAAGUUUUUUGCGUCAUCAUUGAUGGUGACAAUUGAUCAAACGUAGCCAGCACGUCGAUGGUGGAGAAGCUUUGCUUAACCACUACUAAGCAUUUGCAUCCUUAAAAGCUACAAUGGCUUAACGAUGGUGGCGAAUUAAAGGUGACCAAACAAGUCAUUGUUUCAUUUCUCGUUGGAAGAUAUCAAGAUGAAGUCCUAUACGAUGUGGUGCCUAUACACACCUGCCAUUUGUUGCUAGGAAGGCCAUGGCAAUUGGACCGAAAGGUCAUUCAUGACGGCCAUACCAAUAGGAAUACAUUUAAGCAUCAAGGGAGAAAAAUAACCUUAGUACCACUCACACCGAGACAAGUUUAUGAAGAUCAACUUAAGAUGAAAGCUUCUGUUAAAAAGUCGAGAGAAAAUUAACAAGAGAAAAAUAAUGAAAAAGAACAAGAAAAGGAAAAUGAAAAUGAAAAAAAUUUGAAAUAAAAGAGAAAGAAAAAGAGUGCGAGCAAGAAAAGAACUUUGAAAAAGAGUUUGAGGAUGAAAAAGAGAGAAAAAAAAGAGUGAAAGAAAAGAAAAUGUGAGAAAUGAUUGUUUCAAUGAGAUUUCAAAAACAAAAGAGAGUGUGAAAAAAGAGAAAGAGUCAGAAAAAGAAACGAGUGAAGAAAAUGUUCAACCACAAGGGGGGAAUAUUUUUGCUAACUGAUAUUCAAAUCUGCCUUUUAAUUCUUCUUCAUUUCAGGUUUGUAAAAUUCCACCCAUGGGCAGGUUCCAACUUCAUUACCUUUCUGAUGAGAGACGUUUCCUAUUGAUCGAAAAGGGUAAAUUGGAAAGUAAAAAUCGUUUUCAAAUCUUUAGAGGUAAGCCAGGUAAGAAAACCCAUGAUAUUCAAUCAGAUUGGUAUUCUUUGAAUUUCGUUGACAAGUUUUCCCAUGUUGUUUAUCUUAACAAAAUUCCUCAUAAUGACUUGUUUUGUUGUUAUACGUUGAAUAGAGUUGCUGAAUCUAUUUCGAAUAGUAUCUUAAAAUGUUUCUUUCAUUAUUUGUUUUGUGUUUAUUCGAACAACAUUAAAUUGCAAGAUGAUUUGGACAUUAUUGGACAAAAUUUGAUUGUCGUAAGUUAUAAAGAAUUGUCACGAGAUAAGCUUAAUUUGUUCGAUCUAGAAUGCUACGUGAAUUCUUUAAUUCUAUGUAUGAAAAUUUUGCGGAUAUCGUUGUCUAUUCGAGGAAAUUUUGAAAGUUUUGAUUGUUUGUACAUACAUGUGCCUAAAUCUUAUUUGUUUAACAUUUGUGAAUUGCUGCUAAACGAAAAGUUUUCAUUGCAUUCAAAAACAAGCGAUCAGAACCAUGUGUUUAAACCCAGAGUGUGUUUUUCUAGGUUGUUAUUAUAAGAAGGUGAGCAUCAUGGUUCUAUCUUGUAUAAACAUGUUGGCCUCUUUUAUUUGCUCCAUGACUUGACAUUAUUUUCGAAAACAAAGUGUGUGAACUCUGAUGAUGGACAAAGUCAAAAUCAACUCUUUGAUUGUGGAAAUUAUUGUUCUACAUUGUGGUUAAGAGAAUUUAAGCUUGUCUUGCAUUCUCGAUUACUUCAAGUUUCUUCUAUGUUUCCAGCUGUGAAAUUUUUGAGUCAGACUGAAAUGGUAAGAGAAAAAUUUGUUUUUGAUUCCAGAGAUUAUUGUUCUAUAUUAUUGUUCAAGGGAUUUGAGCGAUGGAACUUUGUUUUCCAAGAUUAUAACUUUUGAAUGCUUUGUGAUUCUAAUUUGUUGCCAUCUAUGAAGUUUUUGAUUCAAUCUGAAAAGGUAAGACCCACUUAUAACUUAUACUCUGGCAUUGGGUUAUGCCUUUCGUUCUUGAGUAGGAUAUCGAAAAGUUAUUUUGUGCCUAUAAUUUAUAAAGUCACUAAACUGUUCCAUUCUUGUGUAGGUGACAAUUUGAAAUGGUACCCUUCUAAAAAGGGAGGGCAUGCAAAUAAUCUUCUUUCUUUUCGGGCUAAUUGUGAAUCUCACAUUUUUGGAAACGACCUUGCCAGGUUAAUAAACUAAGGGGUUCGUGAUCUUGAAAGAUUUUUUGCGAGCAAAUGGCCCGAUUUGAGGACAAAAUAUUUUCAAGAGGGAGGGUAUAAUGUGAUCUCAGUCGCAUCAUGUCAUGAUACAAUUUGAUGGCAUCGGAAUUGGCCCAAACACGAGGGUCCCAAGUGCAAAAUAAAGUGUUGGACGGUUUAACAAGGGAUAUCUUCAAUUUAAUUAAAGUUCAAUUCGACUUAGCUAGCAAGCUCAACUGCUAAGACUUGGACAUUUUAUUUACAUUAAUUAUUUAAUUAUGUUUAGUCAUCUACAGUUUUAAUUACAUGUCUGAUUGAUUUGUCUAUUAGUUUUGUCAUUGUUAUUCGGUCAUUAUUUUGUCUUAGCAUGCUACAUAUUUAAAUCAUGUCUUAGUAUAUUACAUAUUAAAUUCAUGUCUUUGCUUUUUCAUUAAGCAUGUCCAAUUUCGGACAGAUUUAUUGCAUAUUAGCAAAUCAGUUUUCUUAAUGUGUCUUAGCUUAUUACAUAUUUAAUUGUGUUCAAUAUUGUCUUAUUGAAGCUUUAACCGCGUGUUACAUGUGUCUUAACAGGUUGUCAGAAUGGGAGGCUGGACAUUCAUGCACAUGUUCAGAUUCAUUGAAGCUAAUUAAUGUGGAGCAAACACUCGCUUGUGCAUGAACGAUGUGAGCUGAUUUCAGCUGGACAUUCAUGUAUUUUCCAACUUCGGUGAAGCCAAUUUAAUGAAGAACAUGCACCCUAUUGUGCAUGUAUUUUUUAGAGCUGUUUGGUGCAUUCACUCAGCUGAUUGGUCAUGUAUCCAUUGCCAAUAGUUGUGAGUUGAUUAGUUAAACAUUCAAGAGAUGAUUCGGUUCUUGCUAUUCACACUCAAAGUCUCUUCAUAACCGAUCUUUCACAUGUAAAAGGACCAUUCAGCUGGCCAUAUAAAGAUCAUCAUGAAUUCUCAUUACGGCCGAAUGCAUGUACAAGUAGAUUCAAGGAAUCUUGAAACACAUGCCAUCAUUUUUGGUGCAUGUGACCGUUCAUAUGAAGAAGCCAAAUACAUGGAUUCAUGCACUUGAUGUUGGCCGAAUUCAAAGGAUUAUCCAUAUGCAUGAACGGCAAGGGGAGGAGUUUUACAUUAAAAUGGAAACAUUAAAUGUGAUCAUUCAUGAAUCUAUUCAAGAGUAAUGAAUUUAUCCAUCCAUACACUUCCUAAGGGGGACGACUUGACUCUUCAACAACCCCAAUGAUUCAUGAACGACCGAGGAUGAAGAAUGUGACCAUUUGGUCAUACAUUUCACCCAACUAUUCAUGUAUCUACAUUAUACAUUGUACGGCCUUAUGCAUGUAAGCCAUUAGUGGAUGAAUUUGACCCUUAGUAUUCUGGGUCUAUAGAUUGUUUUAUCAUGCCAUUGUAAAAGGUUACACAACUUGACUUUGAUAAUUUUAUGAAACAUUAUAGACUUUGUAAGUUGUUCACUCUCAUUGUUCUUCAGGAUUCAAUUUGACUUAUCUAGUUCAGCUAGUGGUGUCAAACUUGUUUCUUCUACAAACUUAUCACUCCUCUGAGUGUGGCAUUCACCUUGAUACCGUUUAGUUCCUAUCUCAUUAGAUAGUGGGUCACAGUCCUUUUUCAUUAAACCACCUUUCACCAUAAAACGUAUAAGAAUCGGGUACCUAAUUGCUAUUAUGGGUUCAUUCUUAUUUUAGGUUCAUUUUAACCAUCCUUCCAUCAAUCUAUCUUUACUUUAUCCGCUUUUUUAAACUAUCUUCUUUAAAACAUAACCUUUUGUUAAACCGAAAC
rnacentral:lncRNA from 1 species